AUUGAACGCUGGCGGCAGGCCUAACACAUGCAAGUCGAGCGAGCGGCGGACGGGUGAGUAAUGUCUCGGAAACACCCUGUUGGAGGGGGAUAACUACUGUGAACGGUGGAUAAUACCGCAUACGAUCAGAUGUGCCCAGAGGGGAUUAGCUAGUAGGUGGGGUAAUGGCGCACCUAGGCGACGAUCCCUAGCUGGUCUGAGAGGAUGACCAGCCACACUGUAACUGAGACACGGUCCAGACUCCUACGGGAGGCAGCAGUGGGGAAUAUUGCACAAUGGGCGCAAGCCUGAUGCAGCCAUGCCGCGUGUGUGAAGAAGGCCUUCGGGUUGUAAAGCACUUUCAGCGGGGAGGCGUUACCCGCAGAAGAAGCACCGGCUAACUCCGUGCCAGCAGCCGCGGUAAUAC
rnacentral:rRNA from 1 species